UGCGGAGUAGACUGGAGAGGCUCCAGCCCAGUUUCAUAGGCUGUGAACACGGGUUCGAAUCCCGUCUCCGCAA
rnacentral:tRNA from 1 species